rnacentral:rRNA from 1 species
UACGUAGGGUGCAAGCGUUGUCCGGAAUUAUUGGGCGUAAAGAGCGUGUAGGCGGCCCGAUUAGUCCGCUGUGAAAGUCCAGGGCUCAACCCUGGAAUGCCGGUGGAUACUGUCGGGCUAGAGUCCGGAAGGGGCGAGUGGAAUUCCUGGUGUAGCGGUGAAAUGCGCAGAUAUCAGGAGGAACACCGGUGGCGAAGGCGGGUCUCUGGGCAGUAACUGACGCUGAGGAGCGAAAGCGUGGGGAGCGAACAGG